GCCCGCCCUGCAGACCUGGGGAGACGGCGGUGUCGGGGUACUUGUGACUUCAGGCGGGAAGUGAGCCUAGUCCCGCCUCGCGUGCAGGCUGGGCCGUGUCUGGGGAACUGUGACGUCAAGGCGGGAAGUGAGGGGGGGUCCUGCCCCCUGUGCGAGGACGGCCAUGUCGGGGGCGUCCGGGUGGCCCGACAUUCGGAUGACAGACGCUCUGCUUCCCAGGAAGCCGUUACCGCAUCAUCUGGAGGAAGGACAUUGCUGGGGACAGGAGGCUGGGCCACGCUUACAAGUGCUCUCUUUGCAAAUGGCCAACUGACGCGCUCAGCGGAUAGCCCCCAGCAUAACCAUGCGAGUAUCUAAAUUGAUGAAAACCUAAACUAUCUUAUAAUUGUUUGUUUAA